rnacentral:tRNA from 2 species
GGGCGGUUAGCUCAGCGGUAGAGCAUUGCAUUCACAUUGCAAGGGUCACAGGUUCAAAUCCUGUACCGCCCACCA